GGUUAUGGGGUUAUGGGGUCAGGUAUGGGGUUAUGGGGUCGGUUAUGGGGUUAUGGGGUCGGUUAUGGGGUUAUGGGGUCGGUUAUGGGGUUAUGGGGUCAGGUAUGGGGUUAUGGGGUCAGGUAUGGGGUUAUGGGGUCAGGUAUGGGGUUAUGGGGUCGGUUAUGGGGUUAUGGGGUCGGUUAUGGGGUUAUGGGGUCAGGUAUGGGGUUAUGGGGUCGGUUAUGGGGUUAUGGGGUCGGUUAUGGGGUUAUGGGGUCGGUUAUGGGGUUAUGGGGUCAGGUAUGGGGUUAUGGGGUCGGUUAUGGGGUUAUGGGGUCAGGUAUGGGGUUAUGGGGUCAGUUAUGGGGUUAUGGGGUCAGGUAUGGGGUUAUGGGGUCGGUUAUGGGGUUAUGGGGUCACUUAUGGGGUCAUGGGGU